UAACAAGGAUUCCCUUAGUAACUGCGAGUGAACCGGGAUGAGCUCAAAUUUAAAAUCUGGCGGUCUUGCCGUCCGAGUUGUAAUCUGGAGAAGCGUUUUCCGCGUCGGACCGUGUACAAGUCUCUUGGAAUAGAGCGUCAUAGAGGGUGAGAAUCCCGUCCAUGACACGGACUGCCGAUGCUAUGUGAUACGCUCUCGAAGAGUCGAGUUGUUUGGGAAUGCAGCUCAAAAUGGGUGGUAAAUUCCAUCUAAAGCUAAAUAUUGGCGAGAGACCGAUAGCGAACAAGUACCGUGAGGGAAAGAUGAAAAGCACUUUGGAAAGAGAGUUAAACAGUACGUGAAAUUGUUGAAAGGGAAACGCUUGAAGUCAGUCGCGUCGUACGGAGCUCAGCCCUGCUUCUGCUGGGUGUAUUCUCCGUGUCGACGGGUCAACGUCGAUUUUGGCCGGUGGAGAAGGGCCUAGGGAAUGUGGCGUCGUUUCGGCGACGUGUUAUAGCCCUGGGUCGUAUGCACCGGUUGGGAUCGAGGACCGCAGCACGCCCUUGUGGCCGGGGGUUCGCCCUACGUUUCGUGCUUAGGAUGUUGGCAAAAUGGCUUUAAGCGACCCGUCUUGAAACACGGACCAAGGAGUCUAACAUGCCUGCGAGUGUUCGGGUGGAAAACCCUUGCGCGUAAUGAAAGUGAAAGUUGGGAUCCCUCGCAAGGGGGUGCACCGACGCCCGGCCCUGACGUUCUCUGACGGUGCUGCGGUAGAGCAUGUAUGUUGGGACCCGAAAGAUGGUGAACUAUGCCUGAAUAGGGUGAAGCCAGAGGAAACUCUGGUGGAGGCUCGUAGCGAUUCUGACGUGCAAAUCGAUCGUCAAAUUUGGG
rnacentral:rRNA from 1 species